AACUUUCAGGCUCAAAACAUAAUUUUACGCUGUAACUUUCAGGCUCAAAUCAUAAUUUUACGCUGUAACUUUCAGGCUCAAAUCAUAAUUUUACACUGUAACUUUCAGACUCAAAACAUAAUUUUAGAAUGUAACUUUUAGGCUCAAAACAUAAUUGUUCCCUGUAACUUUCAGGCUCAAAACAUAAUUUUACGUUGUAACUUUCAGGCUCAAAACAUAAUCUUACGCUGUAACUUUCAGGCUCAAAACAUAAUUUUACACCGUAACUUUUAGGCUCAAAACAAAAUUUUACACCGUAACUCUCAGGCACAAAACAUAAUUUUACGCUGUUACUUCAGGCUCAAAACAUAAUUUCUUUUCGCUGUAACUUUCAAACUCAAAACAUAAGUUUACUCUGCAACUUUAAGGCUCAUAACAUAAUUUUACGCUGUAACUUUCAGGCUCAUAACAAAAUUUUUCACCGUAACUUUCAGGCUCAAAACACAAUUUUACACCGUAACUUUCAG
rnacentral:lncRNA from 1 species